rnacentral:lncRNA from 1 species
CACACAUUCACACGAUUGCCUCUCAAGAAGGAAGAAGAAAAAUGCAGCGCUAGAAGGUGAUUCUAAUGGCUGUUUUGUAAGAAUUUCAAGUUCUCUUCAUAAAAAAUAACAAGAUGGAAUUCCUAUGUGCAAGUAGAAUACAUCUAUUCUCAUAGAUAUGAAUUUUUGUGGAAUAUUUCAUGCUAAAAGAUUAUUAUUAUUAUUAUUUUUUGUUGUCAUCCAGACUAGAAAGAGGUAUGAUCAAUUUUUUUAUACAAGAAAUAAAGAAUUUUGUAUAAUCUUUCAUGGUUGAACGUUAAAAAAAAAAAAAAGAAAAAAAAAGAAAAAAAAAAGGAAAAGGAAUUGUGAUCAUUGAUCCCCUAAGCUCAUUGGAAUAAGAAGUGUGGUAUGAUGUUGUACAUUACUUUUAACUUUAAUUUCGUAUUGCACAUAGAAUUAAUAGUAUUCUUAUUGAGUUUUCCCCAAAACCCACUCCUUUUCCUUUUGCCUACAGAUUAGAAGCAGCCGUGGAUUGAGGCAUGGAGUUGGCAUGAUGAAAGUUGCCUGCAGCUGUUUUGAGACAUUGCUGAAAUUUUUAAGGUUUGAAUGCUUUUAUGGAUUUUUAUUUCCCUGUUUGGUUCUAAACAUAUUUAAGGGUUUUGUGUACUUAGAAAUGGAUCUAUUCCAUGUCAUAUGUUGUGUUUAAUGACUGCAGAAUGUAACAAGAAAACUGUCCAGUGUAUUCCAGCACACAAGUUCAACUUUGAACGAUCACACUAGAAUGUGUACUUCUAAAUUUGAGUUGAAAUUAAUUGGUAUUAGACCGAAGAAUUUCCCACCUCUAAGAUAUGAAAUCAUGUUAACUGGAUGACGUGGAGUUAGUUAUGUGUGUUUUAAUGAAAGAUGACAGUGUUGGAUGGGAAACUAUUCUUGUGUAGUUCAGAAAUUUAGUUGAGGCCCUUAUUGGACGAAUUAAUUCAGGAAAAUUUAAUAUAUUUUUGGGAUAAUAUAUUAUGAGUUUGUCCAAUAAACUUAGAAGUUAUUAUGACCAUCUAGAAUGUUACAUGUUCUUAGAAGUAAAACCGAAAUUGUGUUGUUCAGAGAAAAACUGUUUUAAUGCAUAUUGUGUUGUAGGUUGAUUUUUUUUUUUUCAUGAAUUUGAACGUGAAAUUUCAAUAUAAUAUUGUUGGUGGAGAGAGUUACGAGCCUUCCAUAUAAUUUUUUUUUAAGUUUUUGUGAUAGUUUGGGAUGUCAAAUACCUGUAGAAUAAAUCUGCAGCAAGGUUGAUCAGCGAGACUGAUCUUGUACAAUUUCUUAAUAUCUUGAUGCCUCAAAUAGAGUUGAAUUUUAAAUUUGUAGUACGUCAUAUAAUAGUGAAUUUAAUGUUUAAUACAUCAAUUUUAGGUAUUUUUAAUGAUCAUACAUCAUGUUAGGAAUAUUUGACAAUAAACUAUGCUGGUUCGACUUUGUGACAUCGUGUGUUGAUCAACUUGUAGAUACUCCUAUUUGAUUGAAAUGUCUAUGAGUUUAUGAAAAUGAAUCGAGUUUAAUUUUAUUAUACAAUAAAUUAUUGAUCUUUAUGAACCCUAAGAAAGGAAAAAUAUGUGUGAGAUAUGUUAUUAUGGUAAAACAUCCAAGUAGCUUAUAUGUGAUGCAUUCAGUUCCGCAUUAUUUGUUUUACCCGCUCAAGCUAUGAUUUCAAGUGAAGUGAUAGGCCCCUACCAUAUUUCAGGGUGUUACAGUAUAUCUUACUUUUUUCUUUUUUUUUUCUUUUUUUUUUUUUUUUAAAUAGCUGUCUUGUACUGUUACAACCUACUUUCCGCAAUUUAAAAAUUAUCGAAUCAAAGGAAAAUGGGAAAUAUCUUUUGUUCUUCGAAUCAACACAUAAUAUGCAACCAUAUUCUUUUUCCUUCAAUCAACGUCAUUCCAAUAAAGAUUCAAACUUUUCGGGAA